rnacentral:pre_miRNA from 1 species
UUUAACGUUUGACCGUUCGUCUUAUUUAAAAUUAUUUAAAAUUUUUUUAUGGUUAGUAUUUUUAUUGCUAUUAGAUGAUAAAAUAUGAAUAAUACUUUAUGUGUGACUAAAUAUUUUCAAAUUUUUCAAAUAAGACGAACGGUCAAACGCUGGACACGGAUAUCUAUGCCUGCACUUA